UCAUGCCUACGGGGCGCAGCAGUGAGGAAUAUUGGUCAAUGGGCGGGAGCCUGAACCAGCCAAGCCGCGUGAAGGAAGAAGGCGCCAGGCGUCGUAAACUUCUUUUGUCGGGGAACAAAGGGCGCCACGCGUGGCGUUGUGAGUGUACCCGAAGAAAAAGCAUCGGCUAACUCCGUGCCAGCAGCCGCGGUAAUACGGAGGAUGCGAGCGUUAUCCGGAUUUAUUGGGUUUAAAGGGUGCGUAGGCGGCAUUGUAAGUUAGUGGUAAAAUAUUGGGGCUUCACCUCACUACGCCAUUAAUACUGU
rnacentral:rRNA from 1 species